rnacentral:rRNA from 1 species
AGAACGAACGCUGGCGGCGUGGAUAAGACAUGCAAGUCGAACGGAGAUUCUUUAGAGCUUGCUUUAAAGGGUCUUAGUGGCGAACGGGUGAGUAACACGUGAGUUACCUGCCCCGAAGUGGGAGAUAGCCCGGAGAAAUUCGGAUUAAUACCCCAUGUGAUCGUAAGAUUAAAGGCGGCGCAAGCUGUCGCUUCGGGAGUGGGCUCGCGGCCUAUCGACGCGUAGGUUGGGACCGGGGGUUAACCGGCCCCACCGAAGGCGAGUAGGACGGGUAGCUGAGUCUAGAGAGGAUGAUCAGUCACACGUGACUGAGACGACGG